GGGCAGAAGGGACCCCCGAAGCCCUGCCGCCAUCAGAGAUCAAGCAUUUGGCAUCAGGGAUCUUCGGACCCAGCAGAAGGAUCAGCCACAGGGAGGUGUCCUCCCUAGGAAGCCAACGAGAGAGUCACCUGCCCCACAUCAGGAGCAGGGACCCCCUCAUGACGCUGCUGGCAACCAUAGCAGUCCCCUAGCCCCUCAGCCUCCUUCCUAUCGCCCUCUUCUGACUUUUACUCCAUCUCCUUUGGCAUCUGUGCCUUUGCUCCCGCCCUCUGAGCUCCACCGUUCCAGCUAUCACCCAAACGCCCCAGGGUUUGGCCACCCUGACCCUCGGCCUGGGAUAUUUGCCAGAUCUCUGGGAGGGAGAUCCUUUGCUUGGGUUAUGCCCCUGGUGGCCUGACACUGUCUGCCUAGACCCCUGACCCCUAGCCCUCAACUCCCCAGGCCUCCUUUGUGUGAAGAGCCCUCCUCUGCUCAGCAGUGUGGUUUGGGGCCAAAGGGAAAGCCGGCCCUGCUGGGCCCCUGGGCCCUACCACCUGCCUCCUGGUUGGGCAGCUUCCUUUGCCUUUGGUCCUCUCCCUGCUCCCCUCCCCCGGCCCCUCCUCCUGGGCCGCCCCAAUGAAGGAGCCGGAUGCCAUCAAGCUGUUUGUGGGGCAGAUCCCGAGGCAUCUGGAGGAAAAGGACCUGAAGCCCAUCUUCGAGCAGUUUGGUCGGAUCUUCGAGCUGACUGUCAUCAAGGACAAGUACACCGGGCUGCACAAGGGAUGUGCUUUCCUGACGUACUGUGCUCGCGAUUCAGCCCUGAAGGCCCAGAGUGCCCUGCACGAACAGAAGACUCUCCCAGGGAUGAACAGGCCGAUCCAGGUCAAGCCAGCCGACAGCGAGAGUCGAGGAGAAGACCGGAAGCUCUUUGUGGGCAUGCUAGGAAAGCAGCAGACAGAUGAGGAUGUCCGGAAGAUGUUUGAACCAUUUGGGACUAUAGACGAGUGCACUGUGCUCCGGGGGCCAGACGGUACCAGCAAAGGCUGUGCCUUUGUGAAGUUCCAGACUCACGCUGAGGCCCAGGCAGCCAUCAACACCCUUCACAGCAGCCGGACCCUGCCGGGUGCCUCAUCCAGCCUGGUGGUAAAGUUUGCUGACACAGAGAAGGAGCGAGGUCUCCGUCGAAUGCAGCAGGUGGCUACCCAGCUGGGCAUGUUCAGCCCUAUCGCCCUCCAGUUUGGAGCCUACAGCGCCUACACCCAGGCCCUGAUGCAGCAGCAGGCGGCCCUGGUAGCAGCUCACAGUGCCUACCUCAGCCCUAUGGCCACCAUGGCCGCCGUGCAGAUGCAGCACAUGGCUGCCAUCAGUGCCAAUGGCCUCAUUGCCACCCCCAUCACUCCAUCCUCAGGAGCCAGCACCCCUCCUGCCAUUGCUGCCACGCCCGUCUCUGCCAUCCCUGCUGCCUUGGGCGUCAACGGCUACAGCCCAGUGCCCACCCAGCCUACAGGGCAGCCUGCCCCGGAUGCUCUGUAUACCAACGGGGUUCACCCUUACCCAGAUGAGGCUUUGUCUGCUGAGAGAAGUGCUGGCGGGGUUCCCAUAAUGUCCCAGGCCCACUCAUGGCUUGUGAUGCUCUCUGCAGCCCAGAGCCCAGCAGCCCCCGUGGACCAUCUCCAGCAGGCCUAUGCAGGAAUGCAGCACUACACAGCAGCGUACCCCGCAGCCUACAGCCUGGUUGCACCUGCGUUCCCGCAGCCUCCAGCCCUGGUCGCCCAGCAGCCCCCACCACCACCUCAGCAACAACAGCAGCAGCAGCAGCAGCAACAGCAGCAGCAGCAACGGGAAGGUGCCAGCCUGGGGCAGGGUCCUGAUAGCUGAGAACCUGCAGGGAUAAGAACACCCAUGUGUGGGCUUGGGUACUCCCAAUGGCUCUUUCCCAGGCUCUGGGCCUGUGUGUGAGGACUGAAGGAGUGGGGAGCCCUGGCCUACACUGCUGGGGCCAGGAUUGGUGGCCGCUGUCACUCCCAUCUCUGCCAAUGCAGUCUGCACUUCCCAGUCUCUGAGCUACCCCUUCUGUCUCUGCUGCCACCCAGGCCCUGAUGGCUGCAACAUCUUCAUCUACCACCUGCCCCAGGAGUUCACAGACUCAGAGAUCCUCCAGAUGUUUGUCCCUUUUGGUCAUGUCAUCUCAGCCAAAGUCUUUGUUGACCGGGCCACCAAUCAGAGCAAAUGUUUUGGCUUUGUGAGUUUCGACAAUCCGGCCAGUGCCCAGGCUGCCAUCCAGGCUAUGAACGGUUUCCAGAUUGGCAUGAAGCGCCUCAAAGUCCAGCUAAAGCGGCCUAAGGAUGCAAACAGGCCCUACUAAGGGCUUCAGGUGGGUGCUGCUCCUGUUCUGUGAACUCAAUGUCGGGAUCCAUACACGGCAGCCAGACCCCUUAAGUGAAUGCCCUACCCCUUCACUACCACCCACCCCACCCUGAUGCUGGACAUGAGGAACUGGGAUUUGGGCCACUACCCCAGCUAUUAUUGUUCAGUCAGUUGUGUCUUCUACCCACAUAGACAUGUGUGUGCAUAUGUAACACACACACACACACACACACAAAACCACCCCAGAGGAGACGAGUCUACACCUGUGUCUGCUCCUAGAGUUUUCCACAGUAUCUGGUCUUGUUUGUCUGGUCAGCGUCCAUGUGUCUGUGUCUUUCUCUUUCUGGUUUUCUUUUGGGUUGGAUGGAAUUAGUAUUGUAGGUUUUGGGGGCCAGGAGGCUGGUUUGGAGAACUGGAGGGUCACAGAGCCACUUGGUUUUGAAACCUGAUCUCCAAAGAGGUGGAGACACAGCAGUUCCCAUUGCCCUGAACUGCAGGUGGUUUUCCCAGGGCAGUGGACCUUGGGGCAGAACACCAGACAGAUGGGAGUGGGUGUGGCUUGGUUUGGAGGAGGAAGUGGAAUCAUACUGAGGAGUCCCCAGCCCAUUGUAGGCUGCCAUCUGACCUUGGGGCACAGACCGGUAGCCCUUCCUAACUUUGUUUAAUCUCCCUUGGACCAAACCUGAAAAAUCACAACCCAAGAACAAUACCCACAUUUCUGUUUCUCCCCUUUCCCCCCAAUCCUGGCUGCUUAACUCCCCCCACCCUGGGGGCCCCCAGCCCAGGGUCCGUGUCCAUUGUCGGCUGAAGCCCCCAUCCCGGACCCCUGCUCCGGGCCCCUGUCUGGAGAUACCAGAGGAAGGGGCACUUCGGUAUACCCUCUUCCUAUGACUGGCCCUGGCCUUCUCUGCACAUCUGCCCCAGGCCUUGAUUGGACUCUGGGGCAAAAGCUGCUUCAUGGCCCGAGGGCCCAGGACCUGGCUCACUCCCACCAUCUUGCCUCUCUGAAGGGCCAUGGUUUUGCUUCCCUGGCUUCAAAAGCCUAUUUCCUCCCCAGUGCCCUUUUGGCCUUUGUGAGGAAGCAAGGAAUAGGCUUGAAGUUUCAGGGGCAUCUGCCUUCUGCUAAGGCUCCUGGAUGAGCCUCUGUGCCCACUGCUGGCCCUUGCCUCCCCUCAGUGGCCUGCAGUAGCUGUGCAGGCUCGAAGGGCAGCAGGACACCCUCCUCUUUCCCAAGCGCCCUCCCCCUUGCCUCUCCCCACGGCAGGGUCUUCUCAGAAGCCGGCUCCCACGUUUCUCCCCACCCUCAGCUAGAGGUAGGAGAUCUCCAAACCCCGGGCUCCCAGCCCUAAAACUCACUGCCUCCCCCAAGAGCCCCCUCCAAGGAGGGUAUGUGUGUGUGGGGGGGGGGAGCUGAGGGCUGCCUCUCUGCCAGUCAGUCACAGAGACCCUCCUUUCAUGAGGAAAAGACCUCUCCCUGAGUCCCUAAAUAUGUUUACAGUCUCUGCUGGCCCCUCCAUGUAAAUACCAUGACCACCAGGGCUUUACUCAGCCCACCCAGCCAGACGCUGCCAUCUCUCUUUCUGGGAGUUUAGACAAUGCUGCCCUUGGAUUUUGUUUUUGUUUUUUGGUUUUUUUUUUUUUUUUUUUUGGUUUUUUUUCCCUCUCUUGAUUUCUCCCUUUGCUUUGGGGUAAUUGGGUAUUUGGGGGGGGGGAGGGUAUGGGGAGGGCUAAAGGGGUUUAUUACCUGAUCAUUUUCUUUAGGAAGAGGUUUUAGGGAAAAAAACAUGGGGUGGGGUGGGAGGGUAAAGGAUAAGAAGGGGGAAUCAAUUUCUGACAGUUCUCUACGCUUAACUUAUUUAUUGAGUUUUACUUUUAAAGAGUCGGUCUUUUCUGUCUAAA